AGAGGAGAAAACGCACCCCAAAGGCUGGCAAAUUUUUCAUUUUCCGCUGCGCAUUUUUCCGGCCUUGGAUGCAAAUAUCUUUGCCAAACCUGCGCAUCGGCAGAUAGUAUGAAGUUGAUAUAAGUAGCCAAAGUUUCCUCCGGCUUCUCGUACAAUUUGUCAAAAUAUUUCAGAUAAACGAGUUAAAAAAUGGGCGACUUUUAUCCGGCCAAACUCCAAUUGUAGUCAAUUAUGGAAAUCUGCCCAAACAUCGGCAAUUUUCCAACUUUAGGUCAAAGGAUUUUGCAAAAUUCUGACCUUCGCGCAUCCCACGAAUUUUAUUGAACCGAUUUCACCUACGCAAUUCCAAAAUUUUAACAAAAUCGUAGAGUUACACUUCAAACCUUCGCAUUGUAAGCGAUUUGACAGGUACAUAAGUACAGGAAGAUAAGUGGAUUACCCUAUUUGGACGAUAUCACAAAUCCUUAUGUCCAUUAGUGAUAAGGUCUCGACACAACUCGUCUCACUUCUCAGUUCGAGUUACUGCCUUGUUUCGAGACAUUCGACAUACUUAUUUCUCUCAUUUUUUGCGUCACAAUGCCGACUUGUAUUUUGAAUUUAAUCAAACUUGGGGAGGAUACGUUGCGAGACAUUGAUUGUUAGUACAGAACUCAGAGUGUUCAAUAACAUUAAUCGGUCAACCAACCGAUUAUCACUGGAACAUGCAAAUAUAUGGAUUAGUUGAAGAAACAAGUGCACUUUUUGUUACGUCACACCCAGAAUUCGGAAAUAUACAUAACCAAGAUCCUGCCUUGAAUUAUCUUAGUGUCACUUAUCAGCCUAAAUCCAAUGUCUAUCCACGUCAAGAGAUGAUUUGGGUGCCUAGGACAAUGCCCAAAGGAGUGACGGAUAACAUUGCAAUUCAGCCUGCAGCUGGUCCGGAUUCCUCGCAUAGAGUGCUUCACCCCGAUAAUAUUUUGGGGGCAAUCGCCAUGUACCUCAAUUCUUUGGAAAGGUUAAAUUUUAAAAUAAUCGGGAUUAAUGAGGUUGCCGAUAAAAAGAGAAGCGUACGAGUUUUGACUUACACCUUACAAUCAAGGGAAUAAAAAGGUACAUAAAUUUGCGAUACAUGAUAAAGUAGUACAUAAACUGGGCCUAAACUGUGCACAUUCGCGUAGAAACGCAUACCAAAAUACACAAAUUAACUUAUGAUCUUGGGAAUCUAAUAAAAAGCUUAAACUGGGUCGAUUUGAAGCAAAAUGACAACCUGGCCUCUGUUUCAUUCGCCAUCAGUGACAGACAAGCUGUUGCAAUAAUAGCGACCCACUAUUAUCUAUUGUCUGGUGAGCAUUCAAAUAAUUGAGCCCAGUCUUUCUCUACACUUGGAAAACCAGUGAAAAUCUCAUUUUGCCCCGACCACACCCCCUGCCGCCGGUAGGGGUGGUCCGCUUGACCCCAAAAGUUGAUAGGAUCCGCCCCCUGGGGUCAUAUGCACGAUGGCGAAAACCGAUUUCGAUUAUCUCGAUCCGGUCUCCCGUUAUCCUGCUGACAGACAGACAGACAGACGGACAGACAGACAGACAGACGGACAAAGUCUUCGCAUAAAGUAGCUGAAGCUACUUAAUAAACGAAUCACAUACGAAGUAUCCAUUUGAAUAUGGUUUUAUAAUAUUUGUCCCAUUAAAUAUAAAUGAUCCUGCCUGACACGAAUUCUAAACAAAAGAGACGUUUCGUUAACAUUAAACAUACUUUUUCAAAGUUCAGUAAACCGUACUGUUAGACAAGUUAAAUUCACAAUUUACUGUUUACUAAGAAAAACUUAAAGGUGAGCUGCCUACUGAAAUCACAAACCUAAAUUACAAGGUGUGAGUAUUUUUCACUGCACGAAAUCUGCCUGUUUUAUUAUACUCCAGUGAAUACUUACCAUUGUGCAUUAUACAUAAGCUGACCCGUUUUUCUACCAUCGUCUCAGUCCGCUUCCCGUGUUAAUCAACUGGGAAUAUUAUUCGCGCGAGGCAAACAUGGGGGCUUUAAAUAAAAAACGCACAAUAUCUAGUUGGUACAAAUUCAUAUUUCCACCCCCCUCGACAUAUGUAUAUUUAUAUCGCCCCAUAACGAACAUGACAUUUAGAAAAUAAUUUUACACGGCAAUUUUAUAGGUCACCCUAAAAUAUUUAGAUUAUUGUCCACGCAUAUUAAUAUAAAAGUGUCAAUCAUUUCAAUCUCAGCUAUGUAUUUAAUAACUAAUUUUCGAUCAACGUCAAAUUUCGCAUUCACCAAAUUUGCAAUACACACAAAAUUCACCCACAGUUCUACUUCAUUUCGUUUUCAACCCACAAAAAAUUAUGAUAAAUACCUCCCCCAAAAGUUACCCCCACUCUACCCAAACUUCUUGACACUCGCCAUUCUCCCGGCCUCCUUCCCCCUCUCGACCACGUGGUAAUCCACUUUGGGAAAAAUGGUGGAAAUUUUACCACACAAAUCUGUAAUCCCCUCCUUCCACCGGUACCAAUCCAACCACCGUUUCUUCAUCUUCAUCCCCCCCACAUCCGAAUCCUCCGGGGGAAUCGAAAUAUUCAAGUUUGUAACCGUCACACACGGUGCGACACCUUCGGCUAAAAAAGUCUCAUACAUGAAGAGCAUGGUAGCCUUAAAGUGCAAAUUGAAACUACCCGGUUUCACCCGUUCCGGCACCAGGCGCACCCUUAACUUCUCCAAGACAGGGAACUGCUCCCUGUACACGAGUUUAAUCUUAUCCCGCCCCGUUUCAAAUUUUAAGUAGAGAUUACUUCGAGACCAAUACCGUUCUAGAUCAGGUCGGAAACUUCGUUGUCUCAAAAUUUCGAAACCUUUUAACCUCGGGAGAACCGGAAUGGUGAUGCUAACUCUGGCCCCAAGAGAUGGGGAAGUUUCUUUCACCCCGGAAAUGCACACGUGUUCCAACCGUGGUGCGAGAAGGUGCAACAGGUCGCCUAAAUAGGUUGAUUCUUCAGCGUUAAACUGGAAUCGGGUCACGUUACCCAAAAAUGAAGGGAGCGGGGCCUUAAAGUUAAGAAUAUCAAGGAACGUUCUUGGGACAUAGAUUGACUUGAGGUAGAGCAAAGUGAGACCGCUUUCUAUCAGGAUCAGGCUAAUAGGUAUGUCCUUAAACUGGACCUGCUGCACGUGCCUGAACACCGUUAGAAACCGGGUGGUUAGCGAGACCAUGUUUUCCAAUCGGCCGGGCCUCAGACCGAGAUGAGGUUGGGAUACGUUGAGGGAUAAAUUGGUCAGUUUUUCGGGGAUCUGGGCGUCGUCGGGCAGUAGAUCAGCCCAAUUUUGAUUCGAGGAAAAUAAUUCCUUUCGAUUUCUCAAGCCGAAUUGAAAUUCGAGAGAUGUCAAAUUUUUGAAAGAUUCGCAAGUCUUGACCAUGCGAAAAGCCACGUGGCGGAAGGCGUUAUCGAGGGAUAUAUUGAGACAUAAUUUUUUCACAGUGGGGAAACCAAUGGCAGUAAAUAGGUCUAUUUUUGACAAUAAAUUCCCCCUAUAUGGACACACGAUUACGUUGAGGUGUUUAGGGGACAGGUUCUUAAGGGGGUCAAGGUCUCUGUAAUCGGUGACGUGGCAGAGGUGGACAUUAACCGGAUUUCGCAUCAGGAGAUGUCUUAGAGCUUCCUCCUCACACGCAGAGUUGACGAGAGAGAUCGUCUCCAAGUCAGGAGUGGGCAGAAAUUCCAUAAUUUUGUGUAUUAUCUGCAAUUUUAAUAAUAAUCCGGUAAAAUCAGGUAGGUAAUGAUUUCUCGGUA